rnacentral:rRNA from 1 species
UACAGGGGGGGCAAGCGUUAUUCGGAAUUAUUGGGCGUAAAGGGCGCGUAGGCGGCCAUUCAAGUGACGGGUGAAAGCCCUCGGCUUAACCGAGGAACUGCCUGUCAGACUGGAUGGCUUGAGACCGGGAGAGGUGAGUGGAAUUCCCAGUGUAGCGGUGAAAUGCGUAGAUAUUGGGAGGAACACCAGUGGCGAAGGCGGCUCACUGGACCGGAACUGACGCUGAGGCGCGAAAGCGUGGGGAGCAAACAGG